rnacentral:rRNA from 1 species
CCUACGGGUGGCAGCAGUAGGGAAUAUUGCUCAAUGGGGGAAACCCUGAAGCAGCAACGCCGCGUGGAGGAUGAAGGUUUUCGGAUUGUAAACUCCUUUUGUUAGAGAAGAUAAUGACGGUAUCUAACGAAUAAGCACCGGCUAACUCCGUGCCAGCAGCCGCGGUAAUACGGAGGGUGCAAGCGUUACUCGGAAUCACUGGGCGUAAAGAGCGCGUAGGCGGGAUAGCAAGUCAGAUGUGAAAUCCUAUGUCUUAACCAUAGUACUGCAUUUGAAACUGUUAUUCUAGAGUAUGGGAGAGGUAGGUGGAAUUCUUGGUGUAGGGGUGAAAUCCGUAGAGAUCAAAAGGAAUACUCAUUGCGAAGGCAACCUACUAGGACGGAACUGACGCUGAUGCGCGAAAGCGUAGGGAGCAAACAGGAUUAGAUACCCCUGUAGUC